rnacentral:sRNA from 1 species
GAGGAACAGAGCAGAACCUCUGCUGUCUCUAAGUAGCCAUACCAUGUCUGAAUAUGGGAGGAUGACAGACACAGAACGAGACCAGAUAGACCAGGAUGCCCAGAUAUUCAUGAGGACCUGUUCAGAAGCAAUUCAACAACUACGAACAGAAGCUCACAAGGAGAUACAUUCCCAGCAAGUGAAGGAGCACAGGACCGCUGUUUUGGAUUUCAUUGAAGAUUACUUGAAAAGAGUAUGUAAACUUUACUCAGAACAGAGAGCCAUCCGAGUUAAAAGAGUGGUGGAUAAGAAAAGAUUAUCUAAGCUGGAACCAGAACCAAAUACAAAGACAAGAGAAUCCACAUCUUCUGAGAAAGUUUCACAGAGUCCUUCAAAAGACUCUGAAGAAAACCCUGCCACUGAAGAACGUCCAGAAAAGAUUUUGGCUGAAACACAACCUGAAUUGGGAACGUGGGGAGAUGGCAAAGGCGAAGAUGAGUUAUCCCCAGAAGAAAUACAAAUGGCAAAUCGAAGGGAGAGUGGUUGAGAUUUCCAGACUCCAAGAGAUAUUCACGGAAAAGGUUUUGCAACAGGAAGCUGAGAUUGACAGCAUUCACCAGUUAGUUGUGGGGGCAACGGAAAAUAUCAAGGAAGGCAACGAAGACAUAAGAGAGGCCAUUAAAAACAACGCUGGCUUCCGCGUGUGGAUCCUCUUCUUCCUCGUGAUGUGCUCCUUCUCCUUGCUCUUCCUCGACUGGUACGACAGCUAGCCGGGGCCACGGGGGCCCAGCACGAGAGUCCUCAUGGGCACUCACAGACUGCGUGCUUUCGUGUACUUCCAGUGCUGGAGCAUGGUAUGAC